AUGUCUAAUUGAGUACUGAAUUGUUGUACUGCCUACAUGAUGUGGGGAUUCUGAAAAGGGAGAAAUAAUAGGUAGUGGUUAGAAAACUAGAAGAUUAUCCAAAAAGUAUAACCCUGAAGAGUAGCAUUUGGAGAGGCAAAGAAAAGAAAGACAUGCUAUCUACAAGGAACACUGUAAGCAGAGGCUGACAACUCCAAAGUUCUACCUUUAGCCCAGAACCCUCUCCUGCAAUCUUUGGAAGAAGAUCUGCCACUUGCGAUUUCUCCAGGAUUGAUGAGAAUCACUGACAACUGCAAAUUUGGGCCCCUAGAGUCAACAGUGCACCUCUCCCACACAUGGCACAUAUACUCAUAGACUGGUGGAGCUGGCCUCCCAGUUUACAGAAGAAAAACCAAGUCCAAAGAGGUAAAAUGACUUCUUGGUUUGGAGUUGAGUGGGGCUUGCGUUUGACAACCACUAUCUCUUUACUUUUAAAGUAAAUUUUCAGGGCUGAUAGCAAAAAAAAAACACAAAAAAACAAAAACAAAAACAAAACAACAUUUUAAGAACUUUAAAAAACAUUAA